GUGGCACACGUAGGGCAACCAGA
rnacentral:piRNA from 1 species